CCAAGUUGUAAUGAACAAUUGAAUAAUUGCACAUGGUGCAUUUCAAUAAAAAAAAAAAAAAAGAGGAUGCAGUAUGUCUUAAAGUCCUUAACUUGAAUAUUCGCUGUCUAAAACUCGAGUAUUGGUUGCUAUUCUGGAUAGAAGAUUUCAUACAGUAUUAUCAUAAUUGAAAAGAAAGAAUACUUGUUGCAUCAAAUCAUGACACAACACAACUACAUGUACAUGAAAACAUCAAAAGCAUAGUAGAAUAAUGCUUAUUGUUGUUUUUCAUAUCAGUCAUAGUAU
rnacentral:lncRNA from 1 species